UAUAUAUAUAAACACUUCAAUUAGGAAUCAAACCUAAAAUCUCUUCCUUCAUAAACCUCAAAUUAUCCAUUAAAUCGCAAAGUCUUCAAUGAUCAUUAUUACUCCCCCAUUCCCAUUGAUCUUGUCAUGUUUUCCUUUUUGAGUUGUUUCAUUAAUCUUGUCAUGUUUCCAUAUUUGGUAAUGAUUUUACACUACAAACAAUAUGGUCUCACAUUUUUACACACUUUUACUACACUAAUUAUACUCUUCUUAACAACUGUGUCCAAAAGAAAUGGGACAAGUCUAAUGGGACGAAGGGAGUAUAAAUUUUAUAUAUAAAUUGAAAAGGUAAAUUGUGACAAUAUAUAAAUAAAACAUAGAAAAAAUAUAAAUAAAACGCUGAAAAAAAACACAGAAAAAUAUGCUAAAAUACGCAAAAUUUUAAAUAAAAUACAGAAAAAAUAAAAGAAAACAUUGAAAAAAUAAAUGGAGAAAUAAAUAAAAUAUAAAUAUAAAUACUGGAAAAAGCAGAAAAAAAAAGAUGUAAAAAAAAUUUAUAAAUAACACCUUAUUCAUUGAAGCACAAAGGCCUUAUUAUUUAUUAUUAUAAAUCUUUUAUAAAGAAAUAUGAAAAACAAAAAAAUAACACAUAAAAAGUCGCAUGCUAAAGGAAUCGAAUGCUUAUCAAGGGGAGGAGAGGUGGAACUUUACCCCACACAUCGCCAAGUGCUUGUUUUGAGUUUUUUUUUAAUGAAAUUAUGUUUGAUAUGUGCAUUCCCACGCAAUUGGUCUCAUAUAUGAGAUCAUAAGAAAAACAAAAUAUUUUCAGAAUGAAAAGUGUAC
rnacentral:lncRNA from 1 species